rnacentral:lncRNA from 1 species
AAAAUCGUUAACUAUGAUGAAAAAAAUAAUUUAAAAAUUCUAAUACAUAACGGUAAUAUCAUUAAUACAUAACGGUAGGAACCGUUAUGUAUAAUUGUUAAAGAUAACGGUUAUGUACCGUUAUGUAUGAGCGCAUCAUACCGUUAUCUAUACUACUAUACAUAACGGUAAUAAAACCGUUAUGUAUGACCAUAUCAUAGAUAUCACCACUAUA